ACACUUACCUGGCAGGGCAUAUGCCAUGUUCAUGAAGGUGGUUUUACCAGGGUAAGUCUUAUUUAUUGCAGUCCAUAUGUGUUGACCUCUACAAUUUCUCCAAAUAUGGGAAACUCAUCUAAAUAUAUGUGGUAGAGGAAGACUGCAUUUGCAUGCUCUUCUU